UACGUAGGGUGCAAGCGUUAAUCGGAAUUACUGGGCGUAAAGCGUGCGCAGGCGGUUAUGCAAGACAGAGGUGAAAUCCCCGGGCUCAACCUGGGAACUGCCUUUGUGACUGCAUAGCUAGAGUACGGUAGAGGGGGAUGGAAUUCUGCGUGUAGCAGUGAAAUGCGUAGAUAUGCGGAGGAACACCGAUGGCGAAGGCAAUCCCCUGGACCUGUACUGACGCUCAUGCACGAAAGCGUGGGGAGCAAACAGG
rnacentral:rRNA from 1 species